GGUGGGAUGACCGAGUUGGUUAUGGUGUAUGGUUAAGGUUGAGCUUAACAUCUUCAAUUCCAUAUGGAGAAAUCCGCGUGGGUUCGAAUCCCACUCCCAUCA